CGCCCCUCCAGCCCGGCCUCAGCCCGGCCCGUGCGGGACCGGGCGCCAGGCCCGCGCCUCUCCAGGCAAACAGCAACACCACUCCCACAGUGCCCUUACCUGCGGCGGCCGGGUCGGGGCCAGUGCUGCCCCCGGCGCCGUUCCGGCUGUAGCCCCCCUGCCCUGGGCGACAGCAGACUAUCUCUGUGCUUCCCCCGGGGCUGCAGGCAACAGCAGAGCCAGCGUACUUGCCCCCUGUCGUCUCUGGUUCCAGAAAGACAAGCUGUGGCACUUCCUUUUUUCACAACCUUCUUCAUUACCCGAGUCUCUCUUCCUGCUGCUUAAGGGCUCUUCAAGUUUAAGAAGAAAGUUCUUCCUGCAGACCAGCUGGAUGAGGGACCUCCAAACUUGGCCUCCUGGGAUGGAGAGGGACAUUUUUGCUAGCAGGCCUAUUGGUAGGCCAGAUAUCCUGAGGUUCAUUGCGAGCCCUAGAAAUAAAUGACUGCAAGUGAAAGCAUCGGGUACUGCAUAUGUUUCAAGACACCCAGUGGUUGCUUCCACCAUGGUACCUGUCUGGAAGAGAAGAACUACAUUCCCCAGGGGGCUUUGCAGUCAGAGAGGAGAUAUAACCUCUGGCAAAGUCACCUGAUGUCUCUUCUUCCUUCGGCUCUCCUCACUGUUGCUCGUCCUGACCUCACACAUUGCCUCAGCACUACUGGAGUUUGGGCUGCUUCCAAAGUCAUUGGCACUGAAAUGCAGAUCCUUCCGGCACCUCGACUGCCAGUGCUGAACUGGAUGUUUAAAGGAAAGGUUCCCUCCACCCAUCAUGCUACUGAUGCUACCUGGGGCAAGUGGAUUGUGUUGAUUAUGCAAGGAGCUCGGAUGGGGAACCUCAUCCAUCCAGGAAUCCUAGAGGUGAUCAUGGACUGGCCUGAAGGUAAAAAGUUUGGAGUGUCACCAGCAGAAGAGGUAUCACAAGCUAAAGAGGCCCCACUGUACAAUGAACUACCAGAAAAUGAAAAGAAAUAUGCCCUGCUCACAGACGGAUCGUGUCGUACUGCGGGGAAGCAUCGCAAAUGGAAAGCUGAUGUGUGGAGCCCCACAUGACAAGUUGAAGAGGCCACUGAAGGAAAAGGAGAAUCAAGCCAAUUUGCGGAGGUAAAAGCUGUCCAGCUGGCCUUAGAUGUUGCUAAAUGGGAGAGGUGGCCAAUGCUUUGUCUUUAUACUGACUCAUGGAUGGUGGCAAAUGCCUUAUGGGGGUGGUUACAGCAGUAGGAACAAAACAACUGACUAAGAAGGGGUAAACCUAUUUGGGCUCCUGAGCUGUUGGAAAGAAAUUGCUGCCCAAAUAAAAAAUAUGGUUGUAAAAGUGUGUCACGUAGAUGCUCAUGUACCCAAGAGGCGGGCUAUUGAAGAGCAACAGAACAACCAUCAGGUAGAUCGAGCUGCCAAAAUUAAGGUGGCUCAGACAGACUUGGACUGGCAACAAAAGGGUGAAUUAUUUCUAGCUCAGUGGGCCCAUGAGACCUCGGGCCAUCAAGGAAGAGAUGCAACAUAUAAGUGGGCUAGAGACUGAGGGGUGGACUUAACUAUGUACGCUAUAGCACAAGUUAUUCAUGACUGUGAAAUGUGCCAUUAUUAAACAAGGCGAGAGGACGAAAACUCUCUGGGAGGAACAGCAAUGGCCUACUGCCCCUCUGUCACGGGCAUAGAUUUAUCUACAUUGAUCUAGAUAACUCCGUGACAGGGGUGUGAGGCAUUAAGAAUCCCCUGCUGAUAUACAGUGUUGGACUACAGAAAGACAAAAGAAUACAGUGGAGUUAGUAUACUGUUUCUGUAUCACAGCAUCACCUUUGGUAGUUCUAUUGCUGGAACUGUGAUGGCCUAGAACAAUAUAUUUACCUAGUGGGACUGAAGGACUUCUCCCCCACCCUUCCAUUGAGACUGUCAAAACACUGGUCCUUGGGAGAUUUGGUAAUACUAUGGAGCUGCACAUCUUACUCCCUGCAAGGGACUGACUGCCAGGCGGAGUUUGAGGCGGAUAUCUGUGGCCUGGGCCAGGAAUAGAUCCUACAGGAGAUGAUGUGUGCCUGAGCUUGCUUCUACCCGUUGUUCAUGGCAAUUUUGAGGACAGUAGGCCACUCCUGUGAAGGUGAUUUCAGAAACACGUGCUCACUUUUCUACUACUAAAUGUGGGGGCUAUUAAAAGAUUAUUAUUAUUAUUAUUUUAAUUAGGGCCUUUCAGAGAGGUAUCAUGGACAGCCUAGAUGCAUUUUGGUCUUGUGCCACCAUGGGUCAGAAAAGAAUCUGUAUUUUCAAGGACUAAAAAAGGCCACUGAUAUUAAGGAUCAAAACUGCCUAAGAGUCGGGUUAGAGCAACUCCUGUGGAAGUCUGCAAUCAGCACUGUGCUCUCAAGGUAGGUCCUAUCAAGCUGUGUUAUGCUGGCCAGUACUGCGCAGAUUCUUAGGAUAAGAAUAACAUAUACUUUGGCCUGAUUUGCUAGGUGAGUGGUGGAAGAGGCAAAGCCCAAGGGAGAAUGGUUUCUCUUCUUGUUGUCAAAAAUUUGCUUAUAGGAUUUGCUUCCUGUCCCCAACAAUCCCUCUUAAGGACAGCUUCCUUAGACUAGGGCUGAUUCCCUGUCCACAGACAGAGCAAGCAUCUAGUUGCAGCCCCACACACCUCGUUGAUUGUGAGAGGUAGAUUGAGGUUUUGCAGUAGAAAAAACUUCUAGCACUAAGGUAUAGGCCUUUACUAAACUUUCUUACAAAAUGGAUGCACGGGUUGUUGUUCACAAUGAGAUGUUGAGGCAGAGCUUAAUAUAAGCUAGAAUGAGUCUGCCAGUUAUUCUGUUUUUCAGAACAUUCUGACCAGGUGGGUAAACACUGAUACUACCUAUGGAGGAUAGGCAGGAUAGCAAGAGCCUAGUAUACACUGUGAAACUUGUGAUGCAAUUAAACAAGCCAAGAGGACGAAACCUCUCUGGGGGGAAGGGCAAUGGCAAAAGCGUAAAUAUGGAGAGGUGUGGCAGGUUGAUUAUAUCAUCUUGGCACAAUCUCGCAAUGGUAAGCUUUAUGUGCUUACCAUGGUGGAAGCAACCACUGGGUGUCUUGAAACAUAUGCAGUACCCGAUGCUUUGAAAAAUGAAAAACGACAGGUGAGUGAUAAACCUUAUAUGGAAACAUACCUUAGCAACUGUGUCUAGUAGGUUGUGCGUCUGAGAUGCUUAGCCAAUGAGCAACAGGAGAGAUGUCACAUACUUAGUAGAAAGGGUAUAAAAUAGUGUAAUUUCACUGAUUAAGCUCACAAUUUCUUCCUUACCACAAGGUGGCGUGCGCCCGCUAAUGCAGUAACGAAUAAACUUGGCCACCUCACGAAGAUCUGCAUCUGAUCAGAAAUAAUUGAUUUUGAGUGUUUCUCACACUGCUGGCAUGAGGCAAUAUGACUCUUGUGCACCAAAAUGAACAAGCAGCUCUUGCCCUCUUCUGGGGCUAGAAUCUCAGAGGUUUUGUUUUUAAAAAGUUGAAACUAUAAGAAAAUGGUAGGUGUUGGCACUCUCACAGAAAGCCUUAAUAGUAACCCAGUGUAUCUGCAGGGCUCAUGAAGGACAAAUUUCCAAAGCCACUUCACCAACAUACAGGAACACGUGUAAAAGUAUAUUUGUGUUAACAUUACCUCUCCUGGCUGCAGGGAGGAGGCAACACCUUCCCAAUACAGGGCAGCGUGUUAUUAUAUACAGAAGCUGAGGGAGCACCUCAAGGAUACCUCUCAUGCAAGGACACUGGGGAGGAACAUUUUUCAGCUUUGUCCACCUCUGCAAAAGCCGAACUUAUGAAAAUGUAUGUGCUUAUGUCAUAAAUAACUGCCUUGUUAUGCAUAAUGAUAUGCACAACAAAACAGAACAAAACAAAAAAAAGCCAGGUGGCAGGGAGAAUUUCUGUAGCUUUAAGUACCUGAUACUACAGCCAUUCAAGAUUCUCUUAAUUUAGGACAAGGAUGCUAGUGUGCAGUUUUCUAAUUAACUGGGAAUCAUCUAUAUACGUGCAUGAGACAGAUUAAUUUGUUUGUGGGAUGCAUUUUGUGUCUAUCCAACAGAGGCAAAGAAACUGAAGGGCUGGUCUGAGUCAUAAGCAGCACUGACCUAUACCACAGGAAACAAUACUUAGAUGGACAACAUCACAAGUGGAUCUUAGGUAGGAAGCAGCACUGCUGGGAGUAGCAGGAAUAUGCAGGAUGGGACUAAGGCAGCACAGGGGAAGGAGUCUGGAUGUCAUCCUCCUCCCCUGGCUGCACAUGCUAAGGUGCUGCAGCUGCCUGCCUGGGUGUAUGUGCAAUUCUUUCUGCACCCAGCUGCUACACAG
ensembl:lncRNA